rnacentral:rRNA from 1 species
AACGAACGCUGGCGGCAGGCCUAACACAUGCAAGUCGAGCGAGGACUUCGGUUCUAGCGGCGGACGGGUGAGUAACGCGUGGGAAUGUGCCCUUCUCUACGGAAUAGCCCUGGGAAACUGGGAGUAAUACCGUAUACGCCCUAUUGGGGAAAGAUUUAUCGGAGAAGGAUCAGCCCGCGUUGGAUUAGGUAGUUGGUGGGGUAAUGGCCUACCAAGCCGACGAUCCAUAGCUGGUUUGAGAGGAUGAUCAGCCACACUGGGACUGAGACACGGCCCAGACUCCUACGGGAGGCAGCAGUGGGGAAUCGUAGACAAUGGGGGCAACCCUGAUCGAGCCAUGCCGCGUGAGUGAUGAAGGCCGUAGGGUUGUAAAGCUCUUUCAGCUGGGAAGAUAAUGACGGUACCAGCAGAAGAAGCCCCGGCUAACUCCGUG